UCAUAUCCUAUCACUUAUAUCAUAAUUCCCAAUGAGCAUAACCAAAGCUCUGAUACCAUUCUGUCAUACUCUACUCAUAAUCUUAAGCUCUGAUACCAUUCUGUCACGCUCUGAACCCAAUAGCUGGUUCGGAUACAUGAUUGCCACACACUCCUUAGAGCAAGUCCUAAAGAAUAUGCAAGGCCAAAAAUAAUUUCUUACAACCUCAACAUCCAUAAUAAUUCAUUUCAACAAU
rnacentral:lncRNA from 1 species